rnacentral:rRNA from 1 species
GAUAAACGCUGGCGGCGUGCCUAACACAUGCAAGUCGAACGCCCUUUUGCGCAAGUGAGAGGGAGUGGCGGACGGGUGAGUAGCACGUGGGUACCUACCCCAAGAUGAGGAAUACCACCGAGAAAUCGGUGACAAGACCGCAUACCUUCGGCCACGAAGAAAGCUUCUCCUCACGAGAGGCGUCUUGGGAUGGGCCUGCGCCUGAUUAGCUGGUUGGUGAGGUAACAGCNCACCAAGGCGACGAUCAGUAGCUGGUCUGAGAGGAUGAUCAGCCACACUGGGAUUGAGAACGGCCCAGACUCCUACGGGGGGCANCAGUGAGGAAUUUUCGUCAAUGGGGGCAACCCUGAACGAGCAACGCCGCGUGCAGGAUGACAC